rnacentral:lncRNA from 1 species
AGAAUAAGCCGAUCUGUUGGGCAGACACCAUCAGCAGAUGAUGAGCUUCUCUGAGCAAAUACUGCAGACCAAAUGAAGUUCUGUUGUAGUCUGUUACAGCAAAAAAUAACUGUGCUGUAGACACAGUUGAAAGACAUCCCUAGUUGACUGCAAUAAAGCACCUGCAUAAAUCUAUCCAGAUUAUGGACUGAGAUACUGUGCAGCCUCAGAAGGAGAUCUGUAAUGAUCUUUCAGCAUCACUCUAUUUGGGCUGUCUCUAUUCUUUACAGUCUUGCAGUUUUUACUCUUCUGUUGUAUUUAUUGGUGGAAACUGCUGCACCGUGGAGUGCCUGGAAUGAUAGUGCCAUGAACAAAUUAACAGAGUUUUCACUUACAAACAAUGACACAGAACGUGGUAUGGCUGGAGAUAACAAAUGCUGAUAAGUGUAGCCAGCAAGCCCAGUUUGGAUCUGUUUUUGUUUUUCUGGGGGUUGGGAGGUGGGUACAAAAGGUGCAUUUGAAGAUGGUUUGUCUUAGCAACACGUAUUGUCGUUGUAUAGGCCCAAGCUAGGCAUAUCACUCUUCUGUGCAAGGUAUUUCUUCUUACCCCUCAAACUCUGUCAAAUAUGACAAAUUUAGAGCUGAGUCCAAACUAAAAAUUUUGCUUCAUUUCUAUGAAGGCACAGAUUUCAUCCUCACAACAGAAAUGUAAAGUAAACUAAACUUCAGUUGGGAAAUAUAUAAUCUGCGCAUCUUGAGAACCCUUCCCUUUAGGCCCAAGUGCCACACUUAUCCCUAUUUUUUUGUCACCUCCGUGCUGAGCGUGUCACUGCAACAGUCUGAAUGAGGUGGUGUUCUCACUUUUUUUGCCAAAUAUCCAAACUAUUUAACCCAACUUUGACUUCAGUAGAGCCCCCGUAUGUUAUGAUACUGACUUCGCAUUUCCAUGAGUCUACUGCAUUAAAUAACACAGUAUGGGUAUUUUGAACUUUCUUGCUAUAAGACCUCCCCACGGAACUCCAUCUCUGGCUGGGAGCUGAUCAACAAAUGUUAGCAGAAUAGGUGGAAUGAGUCCAAACAUUACUGAUCUUCUCAGUUCACCUGAAUAGUUAAAGUUAAUUUUCUGUUCUGCAACAUUUAAAGGAUUUUCACAGUUCGCUUCUAAGUACACCCAGUCCUUUUUUUUCUUUUUAAUCUUCAUACAGCAGUAGUAAUAAAUUGUACAAGUCAGAUCAAUAAAAGGGGAUUUUGAAGAAGGGUGAAAAUAAAUGUCAUACUUCAUAAUUUCUU